GCCAGAGUGGCGGAACUGGUAGACGCGCACGUUUCAGGGACGUGUAUCUUCGGGUGUGUGGGUUCGAAUCCCACCUCUGGUA
rnacentral:tRNA from 1 species